rnacentral:rRNA from 1 species
AACGAACGCUGGCGGCAUGCCUAACACAUGCAAGUCGAACGAGACCUUCGGGUCUAGUGGCGCACGGGUGCGUAACGCGUGGGAAUCUGCCCUUGGGUUCGGAAUAACUUCGGGAAACUGAAGCUAAUACCGGAUGAUGACGUAAGUCCAAAGAUUUAUCGCCCAAGGAUGAGCCCGCGUAGGAUUAGCUAGUUGGUGAGGUAAAGGCUCACCAAGGCGACGAUCCUUAGCUGGUCUGAGAGGAUGAUCAGCCACACUGGGACUGAGACACGGCCCAGACUCCUACGGAGGCAGCAGUGGGGAAUAUUGGACAAAUGGGCGAAAGCCUGAUCCAGCAAUGCCGCGUGAGUGAUGAAGGCCUAGGGUUGUAAAGCUCUUUUACCCGGGAUGAUAAUGACAGUACCGGAGAAUAAGACUCCGGCUAACUCCGUGCCAGCAGCCGCGGU